rnacentral:rRNA from 1 species
AAAAUUGCCGUUGAAACUGGUAGUCUUGAGUAUAGAUGAAGUAGGCGGAAUGCGUGGUGUAGCGGUGAAAUGCAUAGAGAUCACGCAGAACUCCGAUUGCGAAGGCAGCUUACUAAGGUAUAACUGACGCUGAAGCACGAAAGCGUGGGUAUCAAACAGGAUUAGAUACCCUGGUAGUCCACGCAGUAAACGAUGAUUACUAGGAGUUUGCGAUAUAGUGUAAGCUCUACAGCGAAAGCGUUAAGUAAUCCACCUGGGGAGUACGCCGGCAACGGUGAAACUCAAAGGAAUUGACGGGGGCCCGCACAAGCGGAGGAACAUGUGGUUUAAUUCGAUGAUACGCGAGGAACCUUACCCGGGAUUGAAAUGUAGACGACGGAGAGUGAGAGCUUUCUUCCCUUCGGGGCGUCUAUGUAGGUGCUGCAUGGUUGUCGUCAGCUCGUGCCGUGAGGUGUCGGCUUAAGUGCCAUAACGAGCGCAACCCUGACUGUCAGUUGCUAACAGGUAAAGCUGAGGACUCUGGCGGGACUGCCGGCGUAAGCUGUGAGGAAGGUUGGGAUGACGUCAAAUCAGCACGGCCCUUACAUCCGGGGCGACACACGUGUUACAAUGGCAGGGACAAAGGGCAGCUACCGGGCGACCGGAUGCCAAUCUCCAAACCCUGUCUCAGUCCGGAUCGGAGUCUGCAACUCGACUCCGUGAAGCUGGAUUCGCUAGUAAUCGCGCAUCAGCCGUGGCGCGGUGAAUACGUUCCCGGGCCUUGUACACACCGCCCGUCAAGCCAUGGGAGCCGGGGGUACCUGAAGUCCGUAACCGCGAGGAUCGGCCUAGGGUAAAACUGGUGACUGGGGCUAAGUCGUAACAAGGUAGCCGUAAUA